rnacentral:piRNA from 1 species
UCAGGUCUCAAGGUCUCAUCCAACAC